UACGGAGGGUGCGAGCGUUGUCCGGAAUCAUUGGGCGUAAAGGGCGCGUAGGUGGCCCGGUCAGUCUUUGGUGAAAGCGCGGGGCUCAACCCUGCGUCGGCCAGGGAUACUGCCGCGGCUCGAGCACUGUAGAGGCAGGCGGAAUUCCGGGUGUAGCGGUGGAAUGCGUAGAGAUCCGGAAGAACACCGGUGGCGAAGGCGGCCUGCUGGGCAGUCUGGCUGACACUGAGGCGCGACAGCGUGGGGAGCAAACAGG
rnacentral:rRNA from 1 species